rnacentral:rRNA from 1 species
GACGAACGCUGGCGGCGUGCCUAAUACAUGCAAGUAGAACGCUGAAGGAGGAGCUUGCUUCUCUGGAUGAGUUGCGAACGGGUGAGUAACGCGUAGGUAACCUGCCUGGUAGCGGGGGAUAACUAUUGGAAACGAUAGCUAAUACCGCAUAAGAGUAGAUGUUGCAUGACAUUUGCUUAAAAGGUGCAAUUGCAUCACUACCAGAUGGACCUGCGUUGUAUUAGCUAGUUGGUGGGGUAACGGCUCACCAAGGCGACGAUACAUAGCCGACCUGAGAGGGUGAUCGGCCACACUGGGACUGAGACACGGCCCAGACUCCUACGGGAGGCAGCAGUAGGGAAUCUUCGGCAAUGGACGGAAGUCUGACCGAGCAACGCCGCGUGAGUGAAGAAGGUUUUCGGAUCGUAAAGCUCUGUUGUAAGAGAAGAACGAGUGUGAGAGUGGAAAAUUCACACUGUGACGGUAUCUUACCAGAAAGGGACGGCUAACUACGUG